GACGAACGCUGGCGGCGUGCUUAACACAUGCAAGUCGAACGAGAAUCUGCGGAAAGAGGAUUCGUCCAAUUGAAGCAGAGGACAGUGGCGGACGGGUGUGUAACGCGUGAGGAACCUGCCUUUCAGAGGGGGACAACAGUUGGAAACGACUGCUAAUACCGCAUGACACAUUGGGGUCGCAUGGCCCUGAUGUCAAAGAUUUAUCGCUGAAAGAUGGCCUCGCGUCUGAUUAGCUAGUUGGUGAGGUAACGGCCCACCAAGGCGACGAUCAGUAGCCGGACUGAGAGGUUGAACGGCCACAUUGGGACUGAGAUACGGCCCAGACUCCUACGGGAGGCAGCAGUGGGGAAUAUUGGGCAAUGGGCGCAAGCCUGACCCAGCAACGCCGCGUGAAGGAAGAAGGCUUUCGGGUUGUAAACUUCUUUUGUCAGGGACGAGUAGAAGACGGUACCUGACGAAUAAGCCACGGCUAACUACGUGCCAGCAGCCGCGGUAAUACGUAGGUGGCAAGCGUUGUCCGGAUUUACUGGGUGUAAAGGGCGUGUAGCCGGGAGGGCAAGUCAGAUGUGAAAUCCACGGGCUUAACUCGUGAACUGCAUUUGAAACUGUUCUUCUUGAGUAUCGGAGAGGCAAUCGGAAUUCCUAGUGUAGCGGUGAAAUGCGUAGAUAUUAGGAGGAACACCAGUG
rnacentral:rRNA from 1 species